CCUUAUAUGCCCCAGCAGACUUCGUGGUGAUAGAGACUGGUAAUGAUGAGCGGGCACCUAUCAUCCUAGGGAGGCCAUUCUUGAACACCUUGGGAGCUAUCAUCUAUGCUAGUGCUGCCAAGAUCAGUUUCUACAUCAAAGGGAGAAAGGAGACGUUUUCCUUCAAGAACAAGACUACACAAAUCCCUGAUCAAUCCAGACGUGAAUCAAGGAAGAGGACCAACAGGAGGAAUAGGAACAAGCAAGUGUGGACCGAGUUAGCUAGGAUGGUCACUGCAGUUCAUGGAGGUCAAGAUCAUCAACUUAAGCCACUGUGUCUGACCAAGAAGGACGACCCAGGAAUGCCAAGCAUCUAUUGCUCCAUAAAUGGAUACAACUUCUAUAAGACGACUUGCAACACCGGAUCGGGCGUCAACAUAAUGGCCGUAGUCACCUAUCGGCUCUUGUUCGGAACCAUGCCCUUAAGACCAACAUACAUUCAGCUCCAGAUGGCAGAUCAGACAUUUCGAGAAGUUAAAGGAACAGUAACUGAUGUCCCUGUCAAAAUAGAGGAUCAUUUUGUCUACACAGACUCUCAGGUUAUUGACAUGGGAGAACACGAAUACGAUUCACCCAUCAUCCUUGGAAGACCGUUCCUCAGCACCGUUAAAGCGAUCAUCUACAUUGGAAUUGGAGAAGUCCAUAUGCACUUCCCCUCAGAGAAGGUACGCCGCUAUUUUACUGACCCUAACUCUAUUGUUGAAGAAUCUAAGCAGGUCAGGAAACGAUGCAACCGCAACCAGAGGAGGCAGAUCAUCAAGGACGGAUGGGCAGACUAUGAAGGAGAAGUGGUAAGGUCAGAAGACAUACAGUUUAAACAGAAAUAUCCUGAGGAGACCGAAGCACCGAGUCAGGUGUGGAAAGAGAAGAUAACUAUACACGAAGAGGAGGCGCCGCCGGAAGUACCGACUACACCCAACGAAUUCCAGGACAAUUGAAGGAAACGGAGAGUCCCGUUCGGAGGACUUAAAAACACCGAACGCCUUGCCAAGAUGUAAACUUGGUAGUUAUCCUUUCCCUUUCAAUUAUUUCAAAUAGUUUACUUAAUUAGUUAUAAUCACACUAUCCUAAAAAGAAAAUAAAAAUGUUAAAACAGUAAGCCGGAUGUGAGUAUACGAGGCGCAUAAAACCCAUAAGUACAUUCACUGUGGUGGCAUAAAAAUAAAAUAAAUAUUUCUUUUCUUCUUUAUAAAAUAAAAAUAUAAAAAACAGGGAGUAAUAUUUAUUAAGGAGUCUCAACAUGAUAAAGGCUAGAUAUUUAUGCUAACACUUAAUCAGUUCCACAAGCUUUGUUGUCUAUUUGAGCUCCACAGAGUUUAAAAAUCAAGAAGACUAGCAGACGGAGGACAUUCUAAUCGCUGUCAGAAUGCUAUUGACUUUCAAAUACACCUCUGCCACCUGCUAGCUACAUCAAGAGAAAUUACGUCAAAAUUCAGCUUGGGGGAGAGCACCCCCAUUUAUCCCGCUAAGUAUUUCUAUCUUUAUACUUAUACUAUAUUAAAAUAUAGAUAUACAUAAUUAUGGAAAAACAAAUAAAUAUUUUAUGCUUAUAUAUAUAUGUCUUUUGCUUAGUGUGUUUAAUAAAUAAAUAAAGUGGCUAUGCUAAUCUGAAUCUUAAUAAUAAACUCUAGCAUGGAUAUGAUGAAUAGUUGCUCUGCCCAAUUUUAAAAUUUGAAGUUCUCUCUCAAGUUUAGACAUAACUGUUAUAAUUUAAAGCUUGCUCUAGACCUAAACUUGUGGGAUGAAAACUUGAUCUGAAGUCUAAGUUGUUAACGGAUAUGAUAUGGGUAGGUUGAGCUGCUGUUUAUCUGUUCCUAGAGAUGCUAGAAUUCUGGAGAAUUUUAUCUUUGAAAAUCUUUAACACAUGAUGAGUUCCUGUAUGAUGAGAGUUUAAAUUACUACCACAGCCAUAUAUACAUGCUUGCUAGACUUUGAGCCACACAUUUACUUUUUACAGCUUAUGAGCAUUGAGUGUGGUCAAGCUGUGUAGACCCUUAGGAGCUUGUCAUGUGGUUAAAUUAAGAUUCACUUGCACGUUCACUCACAUAUGCUGCUUGUACUCCGGAAGUACCAUCCACAUAUAUCCAUCCAUUUCCAUCUCCAGAAUCACCUAAAAAUAUUCUACUCCUAAUCCAGGAGAGAAUAGCCAAAAAUAUUUCUAUUUUUUCCUGUGAAAUAAAUGCUCAAGUUAUCUUGUUACUACCACUUGCUAUAUUAUCUCAAGAGAUGAGUGCUCUAAAAAAAGAGAAAAGAGAAAAAAGAUACGAGGAAAUAAAAAGGGGCAAGUGCCCGGAACCUCGAAAGAAAAGAAAAAACGAGACGAGAGGUAAAAAUGGAUAAGUGUCCGAUAGUAGAAUUAGGUGUACAAGAUACCCACGUGAGAGGAAAGAAAAAAAAUAUAGAGCAUCUCAUUCUCCUCACAAAGUUUCAAAUAGCAAAGAAGGUAUGUAUCCCCUCAAAGAGCACAGGUAGAAUUAGACUUCUGUUGACGGUCCUUAAGUAUCAAAUUUAAUUAUCAAAUAAACAAAGAAAAGGAUCCAAUUGAAAUCAACAUCUAGACUUAGGGUUUUAUCUGACAGAAUUCCACGAGUUUUGGUGUUUGUCUAUUUCUGCAGGGGGUUAUCAGGAAAUACGGAAGAAAGGCCCACACGUCGGGAUUACAUAGAGAUAUCAACGUACCGCGCAAUUAUCUUACAUCUAGAAGAUUCCAGAAGCCACGAGACCGAAGCGGAGGCGAAACGGGGCCAGAGGCAGGGCGCCCGCCCUCCUGCCCUGGGCGCCCGCCCCCUCUGGGAGUCCAAUCAGGACUCUGCUUCAUGGGAGAUCUCCACCGACCUAAAGGAUGAAUCUAAACCAUACAAUCUAUGUCGGUUUGAUCCAACGGCCCAUAUUCACUUGAAGGGACUAUAAAACCAGACCCCCUGGCCCCUGGAGGAGAGAGCCUCCCAACCCUAAUUCAUUAUUCCUCAAGGGAGAAGAAGCCUCUGAUCAAGAUUAGAGCCACCACAUCAAUUAGAUAUCUAGAUUAGCAUAGCUACAUAGGAUUAGAACUAGAAGGAGUCAAUCUUCGAUUGGUUUCUGGAUCUGUCAAGAGGAUUCUUGGUAAUUCUCUAAUUGUGCUUCUAAUUACUUUCUAAUUAUCUUUGUUCUUCAAUAUUAUGAAUAUGACUUUGUUCUAUUUCAAUAUAUUGCUUAUGACUUUGCUCUACUUGCUUAUAUUCAAGAUUAUAUUGUUCUUAGUUUAUCAUAGUUAUGUACUUGGCUUAGUUAGAUUGGAUCUAUAUACGUGCUUAGGAUCGUAUAGCGUUUAUCCAUCGGAUCCAUGGGUAAAUGAGAGAUAUUGUGUAGGCGUGGUGCUUAUACCGUAUUUAUCUGCGAUUGUACCCAAUAUGCCAGAUCGUGGGGUUGUUCGUGAUAGUGACAGCUUCAUUGAUUCUUAUAUAGUCCCCCUCUCGUGUAUUGGGCUGGCAGAGCAACAUUAUUACAGGGGAGUGAUUGCUAUGUUUCUCAUUUACCUUGCUAAUAUCACUAUGCAUGGGCGUAGUCUUGUCUCGCAAUGAUUGCUAACUAUGCUUGCACUAACUAUGAUAAUGCUAGACUAUAUAGUUGAGAAUAACUUAGGGAAUAUUCUUGUAGUUCAUUCUAAUACCAUGCUAAUGACUUUCUAGAGUAUCUAAUUGAGGUGCUUAUCAUAUUUAUUAUGUGGUUAGUUAUGAUCAGAUUAAUUAUCUUUGUCACUAUUCAUUACUUCAUAUAUCUUUUAUGUGCCACUUACCCCUGUAUGAAAGAGUUAGAUAAUUGUUCUCAAUUACAUUUGCAAUGAUAGAUACUCAAUCGCAUAUUCUAUUCUGUAAUCAAUGUUGAUGAUUGCUAAUCCCUUCCCAGUGGUAAAAAUAUAAAUAACGAUACCUGGAAUACUUCCCGGUUAAAAUGCUGCAUCGGUAUUAAUCUGUGCGCUUGCAGAUCCCAUUCAUUAUUUAUUUAGAAGAGCAAUUGCAUAUUUCAAUACCGCGUCUUUUAUAUCAUGCCGGGGAUGACAACUUGGCUUAAGUGGUGUGAGGGAUAGGUUUGGCAUUUUUGGCACCGUUACUAGAUUUAGAGAACUUAGUCUACUUUUGGUAAUGAUGUUAAGAAUGCCCAACAAGCAUUUUUGGCGCCGUUGCCGGGGAAGGUUGAUUACUAAUCAGGAAUGGAAUAAAAGAUUUUGAGUCAUCAUUCGCAUUACUAAUAUGAUUGAGCUUAUCUAUUCUCUCAUACAGUUUUACCCCGAUAUUUUUCUAUUUUAUCUUAUGCAGGGGAAUGUAUGAAUAGAAGACAUCUUCUAGGAAAUUUUGUUGACAAUCCCAAAGCAUUAUUCAAGAAGACGAGAGCCAAGCUCAAGAAGAGAUCAUCAACACUUCAGCAAGAAGCUUCAUCCAAUCAAGAAGAUCACCGGAACUUGUCUUCAGAGUUCGUGGCCAUGGCGAACAAAUCAAUCCGCGAGUUCUCAGCUCCCACUACGGACAACAUCCGCACUGGACCUGCUGCAGAGAUCGAUGGCAACUUUGAGCUCAAGCCUGGACUUAUCAACAUGGUGCAAUCCAACCAGUUCUGUGGGAAGGCACACGAAGAUGCUAGUGCUCAUUUACAACACUUCCUGGAGAUUUGCAACACAUUCACCAUAUCAGGAGUUUCCAAAGAUGCUAUACUACUUCGCCUCUUCCCAUUCUCACUGUUAGGCAGAGCGAAGCAGUGGUUCUACGCUACAAAGGAGAAGAAUACUACGUGGGCACUCUGCUCAACAAACUUCCUGGCUAAGUUCUUUCCCAUGGACAAGACCAAUGCUCUCCGUGGGAAGAUUACAAGUAGCAACAAAAUGAUGAAUCUGUUCCAGAAGCAUGGGAGCGCUUUCAAGACUACAUCCUAGAAUGUCCCCAUCAUGGAAUGGAGAGUUCGCUAUUGAUGCAGACAUUUUAUCAUGGACUCGGCAACAGUGCCCGAGAAACCAUGGAUGCUGCAGCUGGAGGAGCAUUCUUAUCACUUACUAUACCACAAGCCACAGCUCUUGUGGAGAAGAUGGCGUCCAAUCAAAGCUAGAAUGAAGAGAGGACCCAGACACGCAAGAGAGGUGGAGGUAUGCAUCAGCUGAAGGAGGUAGACAUGCUGUCUGCAAAGCUAGACCUGCUCAUGAAGAAGCUCGAUGAAAGAGCUGGAGACAAGAAAGAAGUUAUGCACAUCUACGACUCUCACAUGACUUGUGAGGAGUGUGGAGACAAUGGACACUCAGGCAAUCACUGCCCAGAGAUACUUGAGGAUGUAAACUACAUCAACAACAACAACAACUACUACAACCGUCCUCAACAAAAUCAAGGUUGGAAUCAACAGAGGCCUAACUACUCAGGUAAUUAUCAAGGUAACAAUUCUUACAACAAUAAUAAUAAUUUUCCACCUUUGAGAGAGUUAGUGUCUAAUCAAGGAAAGCUAAUGGAUAACCUAUCUAAGAAAUUGGCAUCUAAUGAUAAAAUGCUAGAAAAUAUAAAUAAUAGAAUGGAUAAUUUCUCUACUGCCAUCAAGAAUCAAAUUAGCUUUAAUAAAAUGAUUGAAUCUCAGUUAAAUCAAAUAGUUGCUGCUGUUCCCGUUACUAACCCCGGUAUACCAUCACAACUGGAAGGAUUAGAAUCUGCAAAUCUUGUAGACAUGUUUGAUGCAGGUAAUAAUUGGAGUAACCCCGUCACUGAAUUCAAUAUUGACCUUCUGCCGGUCAAGAGAGGCGAUCCAGGAUGCCCCGUCAUCCCGAUCUCCAUCGGCAUGGUGGACGUUCCAGAAGCACUCUGCGACUUUGGCUCUAGUGUCAACAUUAUACCUAGGGUACUCUAUGAAAAAUUCUUUACAUAUCCUUUAUUAGAAACAACCAUGUGUUUGCAGUUUGCAGAUCAGAUGAUAACUUUUCCACAAGGAAUAAUGAAGAACCUCUGUGUCCGAGUGGGUACCUUGUAUGCCCUAGCAGACUUCGUAGUGGUAGAGACCGAAAAUGAUGAGAAAGCACCUAUCAUCCUAGGGAGGCCAUUCUUGAACACCACGGGAGCUAUCAUCUACGCUAGAGCUGCCAAGAUCAGUUUCUACGUCAAAGGGAGGAAGGAGACAUUUUUCUUCAAGAACAAGAUUACACAAAUUCCAAAUCAAUCCAGACAAGAAUCAAGGAAGAGGGCCAACAGGAGGAACAGGAACAAGCAAGUGUGGACCGAGUCAGCUAAGAUGGUCACUGUAGUUCAUGGAGGCCAAGAUCACCAACUUAAGUCACCGCUUUUGACCAAGAAGGACGACCCAGGAAUGCCAAGCAUCUACUGCUCCAUAAAUGGAUACAACUUCUACAAGACGGCUUGCGACACCGGAUCGGGCGUCAACAUAAUGGCCGCAGUCACCUAUCGGCUCUUGUUCUAAACCAUGCCACUAAGACCAACAUACAUUCAGCUCCAGAUGGCAGAUCAGACAUUUCGAGAAGUUAAAGGAAUAGUAACUGAUGUCCCAGUCAAAGUAGACGACCAUUUUGUCUACACAGACUUUCAGGUUAUUGACAUGGGAGAAGAUGAGUAUGAUCCACCCAUCAUCCUUGGAAGACUGUUCCUCAGCACCGUUAAAGCAAUCAUCUACAUUGGAACCGGAGAAGUCCAUAUGCACUUCCCCUCAGAGAAGGUACGUCGUUACUUUACUGACCCUAACUAUAUCGUUGAAGAAUCUAAGCAGGUAAGGAAACGACGCAACCGCAACCAGAGGAUGCAAAUCAUCAAGGACGGAUGGGCAGACUACGAAGGAGAAGUUAUGAGGUCAGAAGAUGUAGAGUUUAAACAGAAUUAUCCAGAGGAGAUUGAAGCACCGAGUCAGGUAUGGAAAAUGAAGAUAACUAUACAUGAAGAGGAUGCGCCGCCGGAAGUACCGACUACGCCACCCAACGAACCUCAGAACAAUUAAGAAAAUGGAGAGUCCCGUUCGGAAGACUUAAAAACACCGAGCGCCUUGCCAAGAGGUAAACUUGGUAGUUAUCCUUUCCCUUUCAAUUAUUUUAAAUAGUUUACUUAGUUAAUCAUGUUCAUACUAUCUUAAAAAGAAAAUAAAAAUAUAUAAAAAAAAGUAAGGCCCAUGUGAGUAUACGAGUGGCAUAAAACCCAUAAGUACAUUCACUGUGGUGGCAUAAAAAUAAAAUAAAUAUUUCUUUUCUGCUUUAUAAAAUGAAAAUAUAAAAACAGGGAGUAAUAAUUAUUAAGGAGUCUCAACAUGAUAAAGGCUAGAUAUUUAUGCUAACACUUAAUCAGUUCCACAAGGUUUGUUGUCUAUUUGAGCUCCACAGAAUUUAGGAAUCAAGAAGACUAGCAGACGGAGGACAUUCUAAUCGCUGUCAGAAUGCUGUUGACUUUCAAAUACACCUCUGUCACCUGCUAGCUACAUCAAGAGAAAUUACGUCAAAAUUCAGCUUGGGGGAGACCACCCCCAUUUAUCUCGAUAGGUAUAUCUAUCUAUCUUUAUACUUAUAUUAUUUUAGAAUAUAAAUAUACAUAACUAUGGAAAAACCAAAUAAAGAUUUUAUGCUUAUAUAUAUAUAUGUCUUUUGCUUAGUGUGAUUAAUAAAUAAAUAAAGUAUCUAUGCUAAUCUGUAUCUUAAUAAUAAAACUUAAGCAUGGAUAUGAUGAAUAGUUGCUCUGCCUAAUUUGCACAUUUUAAGUUCUCUCUCAAGUUUAGACAUAACUGUUAAAAUUUAAAUCUUGCUCUAGACCUAAACUUGUGGGAUGAAAAAACUUGAUCUGAAGUCUAAGUUGUUAACGGAUACGAUAUGGGAAGGUUGAGCUGCUUUUUAUCUGUUCCUAGAUAUGCUAGAAUUCUGGAGAAUUUUAUCUUUGAAAAUCUUUAAAAUGUUGCAUGAUGAGUUCCUAUAUGAUGAGAGUUUAAAUUCCUACCACAGCCAUAUAUACAUGCUUGCUAGACUUUGAGCCACACAUUUACUAUUUACUGCUUAUGAGCAUUGAGUGUGGUCAAGCUGUGUAGACCCUUAGGAGCUUGUCAUGUGGUUAAAUCAAGAUUCACUUACACGUUCACUCAUAUAUGCUACUUCUAUUCCGGAAGUACCAUCCACAUAUAUCCAUCCAUUUCCAUCUCCAGAAUCACCCAAAAAUAUUCUACUCCUAAUCCGGGAGAGAAUAGCCAAAAAUAUCUCUGUUUUUCCCUUGUGAAAUAAAUGCUCAAGUUAUCUUGUUACUACCACUUGCUAUAUUAUCUCAAGAGAUGAGUGCUCUAAAAAAAAGAGAAAAAAAAUAAAUACGAGGAAAUAAAAAGGAGCAAGUGCUCGGAACCUCGAAAGAAAAGAAAGAGUGAGACGAGAGGUAAAAAUGGACAAGUGUCCGACAGUAGAAUUAGGGGUACAAGAUACCCACCUGAGAGAAAAGAAAAAGAAGAGCAUCUCAUUCUCCUCAUAAAGUUUCAAAAAGCAAGAAAGGUAUGUAUCCCCUAAAAGAGCAAAAGUAGAAUUAGACUUUCACCAUUGUUAUCACCAUCAUCACCAUACACCAUUCAUUUGCCACACAUGCACAUCUUGAUUAAACUUAUUGAUUUGUUUCUUUGGAUCCAUGGUUUGACUAUGCAGUAAAUGUCUUGUAAGCAUGUAUACUUUAUCUCCCACCUAUGAGCUCCAGAUAUUAAAGCCUUAUUAGAGUAGGGUGAGAGAGAAGGCAAUGUCACUAUGCUUCAUACCACAAAUACUACAUAUCUUGAGAGAAGGCAUAUACCAUCACUGCCUUGAUAAGGAUCUAGAAAUACUACAAAAGAGAGAUCUGAGAGAAUCAUACAAGGAAUCUCUGAGUUUUAUUUGAAAAUCUGCAAAAAGCACCAGAGCUAUAGCUGAUCAAGAAUAAGAGACAUGGCACUAGACUAGACUGUUCUAUCUUUUAACCACCCAAGACAGAAGUGACAGUUACAAGUCCCAUGGUGAAGGUAAAGUAAGUAAGUUUUAAGUCUUGACAGUUUACUCUAACUCAGAGAUAAGAUCUUAUUUAAAAAGCAUGUGUACCGUCAAUUUUUAAAGAUAUUGCAACAACUUAUGAUCCAUAGCUGAGUCUAUCCUUGCUCAGGGACGAGCAAGAGGUAAGCUUGGGGGAGUUUGUUGACGGUCCUUAAGUAUCAAAUUUAAUUAUCAAAUAAACACAGAAAAGGAUCCAAUUGAAAUCAACAUCUAGACCUAGGGUUUUAUCUCACAGAAUUCCACGAGUUUUGGUGUUUGUCUAUUUCUGCAGCGGGUUAUCAGGAAAUACGGAAGAAAGGCCCACACGUCGGGAUUACAUAGAGAUAUCAACGUGCCGCGCAAUUAUAUACAUCUAGAAGACUCCAGAAGCCAC
rnacentral:lncRNA from 1 species